rnacentral:rRNA from 1 species
AUUGAACGCUGGCGGCAUGCCUUACACAUGCAAGUCGAACGGUAACAGGUCUUCGGAUGCUGACGAGUGGCGAACGGGUGAGUAAUACAUCGGAACGUGCCUAGUAGUGGGGGAUAACUACUCGAAAGAGUGGCUAAUACCGCAUGCGAUAUAUGACUGAAAGAAGGGGAUUGAAAGAAACUGUGCUAAUAGAGCGGAUGAUGACAGCUUAAGUAGUUGGUGGGAUAAAAGCUUACCAAGCCUACGAUCUGUAGCUGGUCUGAGAGGACGAUCAGCCACACUGCGACUGAGACACGGCCCGGACUCCUACGGGAGGCAGCAGUGGGGAAUUUUGUACAAUGGGCGAAAGCCUGAUCCAGCAAUGCCGCGUGCAGGAUGAAGGCCUUCGGGUUGUAAACUGCUUUUGUACGGAACGAAAAGCCCCGGGUUAAUACCCUGGGGUCAUGACGGUACCGUAAGAAUAAGCACCGGCUAACUACGUGCCAGCCGCCGCCGUAA